UUUUUUUUUUUUUUUUUAACAUUUCAUCAAAACCCCUAUUCCUACCUUACAAAGCAAAGCUUUACCAUUUGUUAACCACUUUUUUUCCACAAGAUAUAAACAACAGAACUGCAACAACUUGAAUGUUUCAUGCCUCUAUAUACAAAAAUCCUACAGUACCUACAUUAUUUGUGCUAAAUUGAUUAUGUUAACUCUAAACUCCACGGCAUAGAGUAUUAAAAAUUAGCAACAAGAUUAUAGUUUCUAAAAAAGAAAAUCUUGAGUGGAAUAGUGGUCCUGUUUUUCUCCCUCGCUAGGUUUGUAUCCCUCAUAAUUAAAUAAAAAUAUAGAUCUUAGUUGAGUCAUAGAAGAGAUAUUACAAGUAUUUUGUGAGAAGGGAGGGGUUAAAUAGAUGGGUUAAGAAGGGCACGAGCUGUAAUGAGCACCAGCUGGGUGAUGUAUAGAAGUGUUGAAUCACUAUAGUGUACACCUACAUCUAAUAUUAAGCUAUAUGUUAUGCUAACUGGAAUUUAAAUAAAAACUUUAAAAAAAGAGUCCCCCCUCCCUCAAAAAGAAUAUUUUGUAGUAUACUAAAGGUAAACUUACAUAUUUUAACUGAGGUACUUUAUGGUAAAUGGUGUCUAAUAUACUGUGGUAUUUACUUUAUGGUAAAUGGUGUCUAAUAUACUGUUAAUCUUUAGAUAAGUAGAAAAGGUAAAAACUGUUCCAGACGACCAGGAGCUGCCCUUGAUUUCACUCUUAGGCCAAGUCUAUUCUUGUUGAUGAGAAAAAUGUCACACACCUCCUUCAUCAAAAGUAAAUGAUAACAUGGGGUGCCUGGGUUGCUUGGUCAGACUCUUGAUUUCAGUUCAGGGUAUGAUCUCAGGGUCAUGGGACUGAGCCCUGUUUUGUACUCUGGGCUCAGCUGGGAGUCUACCUGAGAUUCUCUUCCUGUCUGCCCCUCUUCCAUUCAUGUGCACAUGCAUGUCCUCUCUCUAGUAACAAACUAUAGAAAUGGUCCUUGAAAGUAUAGUCCUCCUCUCUCUAAAGUAAGUCAGUCCUUGGGGUGCCUGGGUAGCUCAGGUGGUUGAGGAUCUGACUCUUGAUUUUGGCUCAAGUCAUAAUCUCAUAAUCUCAGGGUCAUGAGAUAGUGCCCUAUGUCAGACUCUGUGCUGGGCAUGGAGCCUGCUUGGGAUUCUCUCCCUUUCCCUCUCCCCGUCCCCUGGCUCACAUGGACAUACAUACUCACAUUCUCUCUCUCUCUCUCUCUCUGUCUCAAAUAAAUAAAAUCUUUAAAAAUAAAUAAAUCUUUUAAAAAAAGAGUAAAUUUUAAUUGUCUUGGUCCAUGAAGGACCAAGACAUUUUU
rnacentral:lncRNA from 1 species